AUUGCAUUUUGAAACUUGUGUUAGGCGAAUGAAGUGUUUGGUGUCAUACAAAAACAGUCUGUCUGACUUGUGGCAGGGUGUGUUCGUGUGCGCCUGCUUUAGGAUCUUUACGGUAGCUAUUCCAGACUCAUUGUUUUCCUUGGGAGAAAGCAGCGGAAAGUCUGUGAACCCAAGCACAUCAGCGUCUACAGUCAUGGCUGAGCGCCGCGCAUUCGCCCAAAAAAUCAGCAGGACUGUAGCAGCUGAGGUGAGAAAGCAGAUUGCUGGUCAGUAUGGGGGCUCCCCACAGUUCCUCAAGAACCUGAACGUGGGUGCCGCUGCAAGCAACACCGUGCCUCUCACAGAGGCAGUGGAGCCAGUGGAUUUUGAGGAGUACCUCCGCACUCACCCACCCAUAAUCGAGUCGGGCCCCCUGAGGGACCUGAUCGAGUUCCCCCCGGACGACAUCGAGGUGGUCUGCACCCCCAGAGAGUGUCGCACAGUGGGACAGGCCGUGCCUGAGGAAGGGCACAAUGACGCCCACGUCAGAGACUGUGUCAGGUCCUACACUGAGGACUGGAACGUUGUCAACAGAAGAUACCAUAAGCUUGGUACUGGGUUUAACCCUAACACCCUGGACAAGCAGAAGGAGAGGCAGAAAGGCCUGCCCAAACAGGUGUUUGAGGCUGAUGAGAUGCCAGACGGUAGCGCUUAUCAGGACGACCAGGAUGACCUGAAGCGUAGGUCCAUAUCCAUAGACGAGACUCCGCGUGGCAGCUGGGCCUGCAGUAUCUUUGACCUGAAGAACUCUGUCCCCGACGCUCUCCUGCCCCAUUUGCUGGACCGAGCCCCCAACGAGGAGAUCGACCGCCACAAUGAGGAGCACCGCAAGUCCAACCGCCAUCGCGAGCUCUUCGCCCUGCACCCCGCCCUCGAAGAGGAGGAACCCAUAGAGCGCCACUGUGUGCCUGAUGUUCCUAAGGAGCACUUUGGCCAGAGGCUACUCGUCAAGUGCUUGUCCUUGAAGUUUGAGAUCGAAAUCGAGCCCAUAUUCGCCAGUUUGGCCUUAUACGAUGUCAAGGAAAAGAAAAAGAUAUCAGAGAACUUCUUAUUCGACCUGAACUCAGAACAGACUAAAGGGAUGCUGCGCUCCCACAUCCAGACAGCAGCCAUCUCUACCCUGGCCCGCUCAGCCAUCUUCUCCAUCACAUACCCCUCGCAGGAUGUGUUCCUCGUCAUACAGCUGGAGAAGGUGUUGCAGCAGGGAGAUAUAGGAGAGUGUGCAGAGCCCUACAUGGUCUUCAAAGAGUCCGACACAGCCAAGAACAAAGAGAAGUUGGACAAGUUGCGGAGCCAGUCGGAGCAGUUCUGCACACGCCUGGGUCGGUACCGGAUGCCCUUCGCCUGGACAGCUAUCCACCUGAUGAACAUUGUGAACAGCGCUGGCAGCCUGGAGAGAGACACUGAGCUGGAGAUGGGACUUCCAGAGAGGAAAGGGUCAUGGUCGGAGAGGAGGAACUCAAGCAUUGCGGGCCGGCGCUCCCUGGAGAGGACCACCAGUGGAGACGAGUCAUGUAGUCUGAGCAGCUUCAGACCUGCUACCCUCACCGUCACCAACUUCUUUAAACAGGAGGGGGACAGGUUGAGUGAUGAGGACCUGUAUAAGUUUUUAGCUGACAUGAGGAGGCCGUCUUCUGUACUGAGGAGACUGAGACCUAUCACAGCCCAGCUGAAGAUUGACAUCUCGCCGGCCCCAGAGAACCCCCACUACUGCUUGACCCCUGACCUCCAGCAGGUCAAGCCCAACCCAGACAGCAGGGUCCGCCCCACCAGGGAGAUACUGGAGUUCCCACCCAGGGACGUCUACGUACCAAACACCACCUACAGGAACCUGCUGUAUGUGAACCCACACAGCCUGAACUUCGCCAACCGUCAAGGCUCCGCCCGGAACAUCACAGUGAAAGUGCAGUUCAUGAACGGGGAGGACCCCAACAACGCAAUGCCGGUGAUUUUUGGCAAGUCUAGCUGUGCAGACUACGCCAAAGAAGCAUACACUGCUGUAGUGUAUCAUAACAGGUCCCCAGACUUCCAUGAUGAGGUGAAGAUCAAGCUGCCGGCUUCUCUGACUGACCACCACCACAUCCUGUUCACUUUCUACCAUGUUAGCUGCCAGCAGAAACAGAACACCCCUCUGGAGACACCCGUGGGAUACACGUGGAUUCCUAUGCUGCAGAACGGUCGUCUGCGUACAGGAAACUUCUGUCUGCCUGUGUCUCUGGAGAAACCUCCUCAGUCCUACUCUGUUCUCUCCCCUGAUGUUCCUCUACCUGGGAUGAAAUGGGUGGAUAACCACAGAGGUGUUUUCAACGUUGAAGUGACAUCCGUUUCCACUGUCCACACACAGGACCAGUACCUGGAUAAGUUUUUUGCUUUGGUCCAUGCCCUGGACCACAUGUUCCCUGUGCGGAUAGGAGACAUGCGCAUCAUGGAGAACAACCUGGAGGAGGAGUUAAAGUCCAGCAUCGCCGCGCUGAACUCCUCCCAGCUGGAGCCCAUCGUCCGCUUCCUCCACCUCCUAUUGGACAAGCUGGUGCUGCUGGUGGUGCGGCCGCCCGUCAUAUCAGGACAGAUAGUGAACCUGGGCCAGGCGUCGUUCGAGGUGAUGGCGUCCAUAGUGAACCGGCUUCAUAAGUACUUGGAUACUAGUCAGGACAUGCACGGCAGAAACAGCCUGCUCUCCUCUUAUGUAUACUACGUCUUCCGCCUGCCCAACAUGGACCCCAACUCCCCCUCUCCAGGUCCAGGUCUGGGUGGUUCAGUCCACUAUGCCACCAUGGCCAGGUCCGCCCAGCGACCUGCCAGCCUAAACCUCAACCGCUCUCGUAGCCUUAGCAACAGUAACCCUGAUAUCUCUGGCACACCCACCUCCCCUGACGAUGAGGUCCGAUCCAUCAUCGGUAGUAAGGGCCUAGACCGCUCCAACUCCUGGGUGCACACCAUGCGGUGUAAGAGCACCCCUUGGAGAUCCAGCCACGGUUCUGCCUCUGACACAGACACCAUGCAGGCCAUGGAGCGCUGUGGCAACCGCAUGUCUUCGCACACUGAGAGCGCCAGUUUCUUGCAAACUUUAACAGGACGGUUACCCACCAAAAAGUUGUUCCACGAGGAGCUGGCCCUACAGUGGGUGGUGAGCAGUGGCAUCGUCAGGGAGGGAGCUCUACAACAGGCCUGGUUCUUCUUUGAGCUCAUGGUGAAGAGCAUCAUCCACCACCUGUACUUCACCGAACGGCUGGAGUCGCCCAGAAAGAACCGUUUCCCUGAGCGCUUCAUGGAUGACAUCACAGCCCUGGUCAGCACCAUCGCUGGGGACAUUGUCUCACGCUUUCAGAAGGACCUGGAGUUGGUGGAGCGUCUGAACACCAGCCUGGCCUUCUUCCUGAAUGACCUGCUGUCUGUCAUGGAUCGAGGCUUUGUCUUCUCCCUCAUCAAGACAUACUGGAAACAGGUGUCCACUAAGCUGUACAUGCUGCAGAACCCGACUCUGGAGUCCCUGAGACUCGACUUCCUGAGGAUCGUCUGUAGCCACGAGCACUACGUCACACUUAACCUGCCCUGCAGUCUCCUCACGCCUCCCGCCUCGCCUUCACCCAGCGUGUCAUCCGCAACCUCACAGAGUUCUGGCUUCUCUACCCAUGCCCAGGACCAGAAGAUUACCAACAUGUUUGAGUUGUCUGUCCCCUUCAGAGAGCAGCACUACCUGGCUGGUUUGGUGCUGACUGAACUGGCUGUUAUCCUGGACCCAGAGGGCGAAGCGAUGUUUGGCUUACAUAAGAAGGUGAUCAGUGUGGUCCAUAACCUGCUGUCCAGCCAUGACUCUGACCCCCGCUACGCUGACCCUGAGGUCAAGGCCCGUGUCGCCAUGCUCUACCUGCCACUCAUCGGCAUCGUCAUGGAAACGCUGCCCCAGCUGCACGACUUCACGGAUUCUCAUAUCCAGUGGGGCCGCCCUGGGGGAGCUCAGGGGUCCGCAGAUGGGGCCGGGGGGGAUGAGUCUGUAGAGGACGGCAACAGCAUGAUCAGUCAGACUGUUGCCAUGGCGAUAGCUGGGACCUCAUCUCCAAUGUCCCGUCCCAGCAGCUUCCUGCUCAACCCACAGGCCAGUCGUCCGCACGCCACCUUCUCAGCAGAGUCCAGUCGCAGUCUGUUGAUCUGUCUGCUGUGGGUUCUGAAGAAUGCAGAUCAGUGUGUACUACAGAAGUGGUUCACUGACCUGUCUGUCUCCCAGCUCAACCGUCUGCUGGACAUGCUCUUCCUCUGUGUCUCCUGCUUCGAGUACAAGGCCCAUGUUGUUUUCACCACCAUGCAGGGGAAGAAGGCCUUUGAGCGCAUGAACAGCCUGACCUUCAAGAAGUCCAAAGACAUGAGGGCCAAGCUGGAGGAGGCCAUACUGGGGAGCAUCGGGGCACGGCAGGAGAUGGUCCGCCGCAGCAGGGGACAGCUGGAGAGGAGUCCGUCAGGCAGUGCCUUCAGCAGCCAGGAAAACCUGCGCUGGAGAAAAGACAUGACACACUGGCGCCAGCACAGCGAGAGGAUGGACAAGACCCGAGCGGAGCUGGAGCAUGAAGCACUUAUUGACGGUAACCUGGCAACGGAGGCCAACCUGAUCAUUCUGGACACUCUGGAGAUCAUCGUCCAGGCGGUGUCUGUGACCGAGUCGAAGGAGUGUAUCCUGGGGGGAAUGUUGAAGGUGCUGCUCCAUAGCAUGGCCUGUAACCAGAGUGCCCUCUACCUCCAGCACUGCUUUGCUACACAGAGGGCUCUCGUCUCCAAGUUCCCAGAGCUGCUGUUCGAGGAGGAGACAGAGCAGUGUGCUGACCUGUGUCUGCGUCUACUGAGGAACUGUAGCAGCAGUAUUGGCACCAUCAGAUCCCAUGCCUCCGCUUCGCUCUACCUGCUCAUGAGGCAGAACUUUGAGAUCGGCAACAAUUUUGCCCGGGUGAAGAUGCAGGCGACCAUGUCCCUGUCCUCCUUGGUGGGAACGUCUCAGAACUUCAACGAGGAAUUCCUCCGGCGUUCCCUGAAGACCAUCUUGACCUACGGCGAGGAAGACCUGGAACUCCGGGAGACCACCUUCCCUGACCAGGUCCAGGAUCUGGUGUUCAACCUGCACAUGAUCCUGUCUGAUACAGUCAAGAUGAAGGAGCACCAGGAGGACCCAGAAAUGCUCAUAGACCUCAUGUACAGGAUCGCUAAGGGUUACCAGACGUCUCCAGACCUGCGUCUGACGUGGAUGCAGAACAUGGCGGGUAAACACUCUGAGAGGACCAAUCACGCGGAGGCAGCCCAGUGUCUGGUGCACAGCGCAGCCCUGGUGGCGGAAUACCUCAGCAUGCUGGAGGACCGCAAGUACCUGCCGGUCGGCUGUGUCACCUUUCAGAACGUCUCUUCCAACGUGCUGGAGGAGUCUGCCGUGUCUGACGACGUGGUGUCUCCCGAUGAGGAGGGUAUCUGCUCGGGGAAAUACUUCACCGAGGCUGGCCUAGUGGGGCUGCUGGAUCAGGCUGCUUCCUCCUUCUCCCUGGCUGGUAUGUACGAGGCGGUGAAUGAGGUGUACAAGGUCCUGAUCCCCAUCCACGAGGCCAACCGGGACACCAAGAAGUUGGCCACCAUACAUGGUAAACUACAGGAAGCCUUUGGCAAAAUCGUGCAUCAGAGCACUGGCUGGGAGGUAGGUCCUAAUGGUUCCUGCUUGGCCUGCUCAUUUACUUUUUGUCUCUACUUCAUGUUUAUUAUUUGCUAGUUGUGUUGCUCUCUGCUGCUAUGUUACAUUAUACUGUACCAUCCAUUAACAUCUACCUAGACCUGGUGCUGUCUGUUUGUCCUUCCGUCCAACCAACUGUGGGACUGCUGAUGCCAUGUGACGGGCAGCAACCCUCCUCCUCUUCCUCCUCAUUCUCCUUUCCUCUUCUGCUCUGUCUGCGGAAGAGGUUGUUUUAACAUGACCGUUUUGGCAGGCCAUGCAUGGGAGCCCCAGUGUGUUACUAAUGGCAAGUCUUGGUGAAUGAGGACUUCACCUACUUGCACCCCUGCCUUGUCAGACCGUCUCUCAUCAACAACAAACUGUCUGGUCUGGUCGGGCGUCAACACUGGUCUGGUCGGGCGUCAACAUCUGGUCUGUUGCUCGCUCACCUGUUGUCACAACUCAUCUCACAGGAUUAGAUUUUAGUCAGAUAUUCGUGCUGAGGAUACACUCCCCCAGGUUGUUCUCUCGAUACACACUCUCACAAACCAGAGCCCUUUUGUAAUAGAACAAAUUAACCACAAACCAGUUUCAACUGGAUCCACAUUCGGUUAAGAAACGUUGAAUUUCAAGAGGGUGCAAGUCCAAGGAUUUUGGACUGGCUUGUUAGAUUUGUCCCACCUCAAAGUGAAAUGUUCUCCCUUUUUUAUUUGGGAAAAAGACUAACUAAAUCGACCCCUGAGUUCCUUCAUUCAUACUGCUGCUGUUGUGUUAUUAACUGGUAUUAACCUGGUGUGUUGCAUGACAAGGACAGAACACUCCUCCUCUUUCUCCUGAGGGAACUUAAGGACUGGGAGUACAGCUCCCUGAAUGUUUCCAGGGACUGUGGAGCUCCAUCACCACCAUGACUGCAUUCUCUUUUUUUUGCUCUCUUAUCUCUCCCUCUCUCCUUCCACCUCCCUUUACUUUACUCUGUCUUUCUCUGCAUGUUUUGUGUCGUGUGUUCUUAAAGUCAAAAGGAAUAGUUUGGAUAUUGGUGGUUGCUGUCUAUUCUAUUUGCCUUGGUUUGUGUUGUUCUUGUGGUGUUCUUGUUUAGUUUCUCUAAUGAAUUACCUGGAAUCCUGAUUAAAAUGUGUUCUUGUUUUCUCCUUUUGAUUUCCCUGGUUGCCAUGCCGACCCCUCCUUCCCACUUUACUAAUUGUGUGUUGUGGAUGGGAAGAGAAUGUUCGGUACUUACUUCAGAGUCGGAUUUUACGGCUCUAAAUUUGGGGACUUGGACGAGCAGGAGUUUGUGUACAAAGAGCCUGCCAUCACCAAGCUAGCAGAGGUCUCACACCGACUCGAGGGGUUUUAUGGCGAGCGCUAUGGGGAAGACCAGGUGGAAGUCAUUAAGGACUCCAAUCUAGUGGACAAGUGCAAACUGGACCCAAAUAAGGCUUAUGUCCAGAUCACAUACGUGGAGCCGUACUUUGACACCUAUGAAAUGAAGGACCGCAUCACGUACUUCGACAAGAACUACAACCUGCGGCGCUUUGUCUACUGCACGCCGUUCACGCUGGACGGGCGUGCGCACGGGGAUCUGCACGAUCAGUUCAAGCGCAAAACCAUCCUGACCACCUCCCACGCCUUCCCCUACAUCAAGACCCGCAUCAACAUCAUCCACAAAGAAGAGAUCAGCUCCAUGCCCAUUGAGGUGGCCAUAGAGGAUAUGCAGAAGAAGACCCAGGAGCUGGCCUUCGCCACUCACCAGGACCCCUCCGAUGCCAAGAUGCUGCAAAUGGUCCUGCAGGGGUCUGUGGGGACCACCGUCAACCAGGGACCUCUGGAAGUGGCCCAGGUGUUCCUUUCAGAGAUCCCCAGUGACCCUAAACUCUACAGACACCACAACAAACUACGCCUCUGCUUCAAAGACUUCACGAAGAGGUGUGAAGACGCCCUCCGUAAGAACAAGAGUCUAAUUGGUCCAGACCAGAAGGAGUACCAGAGGGAGUUGGAGAGGAACUACCAUCGUCUGAAGGAGGCGCUACAGCCACUCAUCUGCAGAAAGAUACCCCAGCUUUAUAAACCUGUGCUGCAGGUCACCUCUCACAGCAAACGGACAGCUUCACCAGGGAUUCCUUCAGCAGAAUGAGUCUCCGCAAGCUUGAACUUUGAAGAUGAAGACAUUUUUUUAAAUUAAGAAUCAUUGCCUUAGUUUUAUUCAUGUGUAUAGACAGAGUCAGCGUUCCCGAUAGCGAGCAGACGGAAAGCUAAAGAAGUGUUACCACGAACUCGGUUACGUCAUACAAGUGUCUUAUUCGUUUACAGGCAGGCAGCCUGUUUACGCAAUCAGUGGGUUUAACAAAGUGGAUCUUACUACGUGUAAUGUCAAAUCUGUAUUCAUAUUUCACGUGUGCACUUUUUUUUAUUUACUGUGUAUCAAUGCAUUUUACAACUUGAACAUUUUAAUAUUUAAUCAGAAAUUGGAAGGAAAGAAAACUUGCAAAAUAUGUACUGACACUAUUUAUCAUCAUGCUUUCUCAUUUUUAGUUAGGGAAAUGUUUUAAACAUUGACAUUGAAUAGUUAUGUAUUUUUUUUUGUUGACUAUUUUACUAAAUAAAUAUUUGAAUGUCCAAA